UACAGAGGGUGCGAGCGUUAAUCGGAAUUACUGGGCGUAAAGCGUGCGUAGACGGUUAUUUAAGUCGGGUGUGAAAGCCCCGGGCUCAACCUGGGAAUUGCAUUCGAGACUGAAUAGCUAGGGUACGGUAGAGGGAAGUGGAAUUUCCGGUGUAGCGGUGAAAUGCGCAGAUAUCAGGAAGAACACCCGUGGCGAAGGCGGUUCUCUGGGACGGUACUGACGCUGAGACGCGAAAGCGUGGGGAGCGAACAGG
rnacentral:rRNA from 1 species